rnacentral:misc_RNA from 1 species
CGGCAAGUGGUACCUUGUGGGUAUUACAAGUUUUGGUGUAGGGUGUGGACUUCAGUCUAGGCCCGGUGUUUACACCAGGAUCUCAAUGUUUAAAGACUACAUUGACACAAUCACUGAGAUUGUUACCGGCAACAGGUACUUCCAAUGUGCAAGCGGUUUUUGUUUGCCAAAAGAAUAUGUUUGUGAUGGAGCACGUGACUGUUACAAUGGAGAAGAUGAGGAACAAUGUAUCCAUGAAGACACCGAUGCGAUAGAAAUAUAUGAAGACUUCUUUUACAGUGAAUAUUCAUAUGAUGGUUUUUUUUCAGAAACAGUCUGUGCAUCUA